rnacentral:rRNA from 1 species
UACGUAGGGUGCGAGCGUUGUCCGGAUUUAUUGGGCGUAAAGGGCUCGUAGGCGGCCUGUCGCGUCGGGAGUGAAAGCCCACUGCUUAACGGUGGGUCUGCUUCCGGUACGGGCGGGCUAGAGUAUGGCAGGGGAGACUGGAAUUCCUGGUGUAGCGGUGGAAUGCGCAGAUAUCAGGAGGAACACCGGUGGCGAAGGCAGGUCUCUGGGCCACUACUGACGCUGAGAAGCGAAAGCAUGGGGAGCGAACAGG